rnacentral:tRNA from 1 species
AGUUUUAUAGUCAAUAAUGAUAUUAGACUGCAAUUCUAAAGGAGUAUAUAAUAUACUAAAGCUU